GGCCACACUGGGACUGAGACACGGCCCAGACUCCUACGGGAGGCAGCAGUGGGGAAUAUUGCACAAUGGGCGCAAGCCUGAUGCAGCAACGCCGCGUGAGGGAUGACGGCCUUCGGGUUGUAAACCUCUUUUAGCAGGGAAGAAGCGAAAGUGACGGUACCUGCAGAAAAAGCGCCGGCUAACUACGUGCCAGCAGCCGCGGUAAUACGUAGGGCGCAAGCGUUAUCCGGAAUUAUUGGGCGUAAAGAGCUCGUAGGCGGUUUGUCGCGUCUGCUGUGAAAUCCGGAGGCUCAACCUCCGGCCUGCAGUGGGUACGGGCAGACUAGAGUGCGGUAGGGGAGAUUGGAAUUCCUGGUGUAGCGGUGGAAUGCGCAGAUAUCAGGAGGAACACCGAUGGCGAAGGCAGAUCUCUGGGCCGUAACUGACGCUGAGGAGCGAAAGGGUGGGGAGCAAACAGGCUUAGAUACCCUGGUAGUCCACCCCGUAAACGUUGGGAACUAGUUGUGGGGUCCAUUCCACGGAUUCCGUGACGCAGCUAACGCAUUAAGUUCCCCGCCUGGGGAGUACGGCCGCAAGGCUAAAACUCAAAGGAAUUGACGGGGACCCGCACAAGCGGCGGAGCAUGCGGAUUAAUUCGAUGCAACGCGAAGAACCUUACCAAGGCUUGACAUAUACGAGAACGGGCCAGAAAUGGUCAACU
rnacentral:rRNA from 1 species